UAACCUACUUGCUUAUGAGAGCAUUUCACAGCCCAGAAAGCCUAAGGGGGUUAGAUCUCAGCUCUCCUUGAGGCUGCCAACUCUCUCUGACAACAUCAGGGUAAUUAACAUCACACAGGACUCCCAGAUCUUUGUGAGAACUCUGAAAGGCUCUUCCCUAGAAUUCCUCUCGGGAGCUCACUUUCUGUUUUUCAUCUGACAAAGUCAAAUCAUCUGAUAGCCUUCCAGUUAAAGGAAAGAGGACCCAUCUGUUCAAUUAGGCUUUCCUUAGGUUCACCUGGCAAACGGACACAGAUUAAUUAUUUAUAAUUAUUCCUUGUCACCAUGUGAAAUCCUGAAGACUUGACUGUAAGGAUCAAUAUUUAAGUAUACUCAAUCUAUAAGAACAAUGAAUUUGAAUGCUUAGUUGCAUUUCACCUUUGAAAAAGAAAAGACAAAUCCUGAACAAAACUUGUAAUUGGGUUUUUUUUUUCCUCAAAGCAAGCUACUAUGUGACAUUCUCUGGUCUUAUUCAUUCCAUUCAUUCCUAUCUUCUAUGUUUUUCCCAGAGUAAAUAAAUACUAUCUGUCUACCAUAGCAGUGGAGGCACCAGGGAACAUAUAUAGAAUAAUUUUAAGGACUGCUAAGGGCUCUAAGGUACAAUGGAGAACAACUUAUGAUUAGAUAUGACUGUUUUAAGUGAAAACUUGAGGGUGGAGGGGAAAGUCUCUCUAGGGAGUUAAUAUUUAAUUUAAGAAGAGAAAGUCAUUUCUUGGCCCUGGCAUUACCCUGUACUGGGGCAUAUAAAGUUUGCAAUACCAAGGGUCCUCUCUUUGGCAGAAGGAGGGUAUAGGGAACUUUUGGGAUAGCAUUUGAAAUGUAUAUAAAGAAAAUUUCU
rnacentral:lncRNA from 1 species